GGGCUGUUGGUUUAGUGGUAUAAUACCCCCUUAGCAUCUUCACUGGAGUUUCGCCAGUCAAAGCUUGGGGGUGGUCCGGAGUUCGAUUCUCCGACAGUCCA